UUGAAACCUGCUCAGCAGCACGACCCGUGAACGAGUAAACAUCACACGCGGGAGGGGUGCCUCGGCCCCCUCCCCGUGCUGGGGGGAACCCCCCUCGGCGCAACAACGAACCCCGGCGCGGACGGCGCCAAGGAACACAAACUCAUGGAGUGCGCUCCCGCGGACGGUGCGCACGGCGCGCGGGGGUGGCGCACGGACCCUACUCGAAACGUAACGACUCUCGGCAACGGAUAUCUCGGCUCUCGCAUCGAUGAAGAACGUAGCGAAAUGCGAUACUUGGUGUGAAUUGCAGAAUCCCGUGAACCAUCGAGUCUUUGAACGCAAGUUGCGCCUGAAGCCUUCUGGCCGAGGGCACGUCUGCCUGGGCGUCACGCUCCGCGUCUCCCCCCCGCCCUCGUGGAGGGGGAUGGAUGGUGGCCUCCUGUGCUCCGACCGGGGCGCGGCUGGCCUAAAACGGGAGUCGAUGGCGGUGAGCUGUUGCGGCGAUUGGUGGUGGACGAGGCCUAACGGCCUGUUAGCAUCGCGCUGCUCGAGCACGCCGUCGGGACGGGCUCGUGGGACCCUUGCGUGGCACAUGUCACGCAAAACUGUUGCGACC
rnacentral:misc_RNA from 1 species